GAGAGAGACAUGCGCGCAUAUCAAUAAGCGGAGGAAAAGAAACUAACAAGGAUUCCCCUAGUAACGGCGAGUGAAGCGGGAAGAGCUCAAAUUUGAAAUCUUAAAGGGUUUCCCUUUACGAAUUGUAGUUUAAAGAAGUGUUUUCUGUUGAGGUUUUGGUAAAAGUUCUUUGGAAUAGGACAUCAUAGAGGGUGAGAAUCCCGUAUUUGACCUUUACUUUCAACUUUGUGAUACACUUUCAAAGAGUCGGAUUGUUUGGGAAUGCAGUCCAAAAUGGGUGGUAAAUUUCAUCUAAAGCUAAAUACUGGCGAGAGACCGAUAGCGAACAAGUACCGUGAAGGAAAGAUGAAAAGAACUUUGAAAAGAGAGUUAAACAGUACGUGAAAUUGUCAAAAGGGAAGCGUUUGACACCAGUGUUGUUUUUCUGAAAAUCAAUUAAAGAACUGUUUAUGCUAAGUUGUUUAGACUUUAUCAGCUAACUGUUUAGUUUUGAGCUUUUCUUUAAUGCACUUUUCAGUUAACAAGUCAACAUCAAUUUCUUUUGCUGUAAAAAAGCUUGAGGAAGGUGGCUUGAGAUUCGUCUUAAGUGUUUAUAGCCUCUUGCCUAUGCAGUCGGAGAGAUUGAGGUCUGCAGCGUAGAUCCUUCGGGGCUAAAUGCAUUUGUGCUAAGUUAUAGCAUUUUAUAGACAACUUGUUGACUAUGAUUUGUCUUGUAGCUUACUCGCUUAUGUUAUUUUACCUACGCUUAGGAUGUUGAGCGCAUGUCUCUCUCU
rnacentral:rRNA from 1 species